AGUGAACGCUGGCGGCGUGCUUAACACAUGCAAGUCGAACGAGAACGGGGUAUAGCUUGCUAUAAUUGUCAGCUAAGUGGCGCACGGGUGAGUAAUGUAUAGGUAAUAUGCCUCUUACUAAGGGAUAACAAAUGGAAACGUUUGCUAAUACCUUAUACUCCUUAUUAACAUAAGUUAAUAAGGGAAAGAUUUAUUGGUAAGAGAUUAGCCUGUAUUGUAUCAGUUAGUUGGUGGGGUAAUGGCUUAACAAGACUAAGACACAUAACUGGUUUGAGAGGAUGAUCAGUCACACUGGAACUGAUACACGGUCCAGACUCCUACGGGAGGCAGCAGUGGGGAAUAUUGCACAAUGGACGAAAUUCUGAUGCAGCAACGCCGCGUGGAGGAUGACACAUUUCGGUGCGUAAACUCCUUUUAUAUGAGAAGAUAAUGACGGUAUUAUAUGAAUAAGCACCGGCUAACUCCGUGCCAGCCGCCGCGGUAA
rnacentral:rRNA from 1 species